rnacentral:rRNA from 1 species
GAUGAACGCUGGCGGCGUGCCUAAUACAUGCAAGUCGAGCGAACAGACGAGGAGCUUGCUCCUCUGACGUUAGCGGCGGACGGGUGAGUAACACGUGGAUAACCUACCUAUAAGACUGGGAUAACUUCGGGAAACCGGAGCUAAUACCGGAUAAUAUAUUGAACCGCAUGGUUCAAUAGUGAAAGACGGUUUUGCUGUCACUUAUAGAUGGAUCCGCGCUGCAUUAGCUAGUUGGGAAGGUAACGGCUUACCAAGGCAACGAUGGGUAGCCGGCCGGAGAGGGGGGUCGGCCACACGGGAGCUGGGACGCGGUCCAGGCGCCUACGGGAGGCAGCAGUAGGGAAUCUGCGGCAGUGGGCGAAAGCAUGACGGAGCAAGGCGGCGUGAGUGGUGAAGGUCUUGGGAGCGUAAAGCUCUGUUAUUAGGGAAGAACAAAUGUGGAAGUAACUGUGCACGUCUUGACGGUACCUGAACAGAAAGCCACGGCUAACUACGUG